rnacentral:rRNA from 1 species
UGAACGCUGGCGGCGUGCUUCACACAUGCAAGUCGAACGAUGAAGCCCAGCUUGCUGGGUGGAUUAGUGGCGAACGGGUGAGUAACACGUGAGUAACCUGCCCUUAACUCUGGGAUAAGCCUGGGAAACUGGGUCUAAUACCGGAUAGGAGCGUCCACCGCAUGGUGGGUGUUGGAAAGAUUUAUCGGUUUUGGAUGGACUCGCGGCCUAUCAGCUUGUUGGUGAGGUAAUGGCUCACCAAGGCGACGACGGGUAGCCGGCCUGAGAGGGUGACCGGCCACACUGGGACUGAGACACGGCCCAGACUCCUACGGGAGGCAGCAGUGGGGAAUAUUGCACAAUGGGCGCAAGCCUGAUGCAGCGACGCCGCGUGAGGGAUGACGGCCUUCGGGUUGUAAACCUCUUUCAGUAGGGAAGAAGCGAAAGUGACGGUACCUGCAGAAGAAGCACCGGCUAACUACGUG